rnacentral:rRNA from 1 species
AGAGUUUGAUCCUGGCUCAGAUUGAACGCUGGCGGCAUGCCUUACACAUGCAAGUCGAACGGCAGCACGAGAGCCUGCUCUUGGUGGCGAGUGGCGAACGGGUGAGUAAUAUAUCGGAACGUACCCUAGAGUGGGGGAUAACGUAGCGAAAGUUACGCUAAUACCGCAUACGAUCUACGGAUGAAAGUGGGGGAUCGCAAGACCUCAUGCUCAUGGAGCGGCCGAUAUCUGAUUAGCUAGUUGGUGGGGUAAAAGCUCACCAAGGCGACGAUCAGUAGCUGGUCUGAGAGGACGACCAGCCACACUGGAACUGAGACACGGUCCAGACUCCUACGGGAGGCAGCAGUGGGGAAUUUUGGACAAUGGGCGCAAGCCUGAUCCAGCAAUGCCGCGUGAGUGAAGAAGGCCUUCGGGUUGUAAAGCUCUUUUGUCAGGGAAGAAACGGUGGACUCUAAUACAGAUCACUAAUGACGGUACCUGAAGAAUAAGCACCGGCUAACUACGUGCCAGCAGCCGCGGUGAUACGUAGGGUGCAAGCGUUAAUCGGAAUUACUGGGCGUAAAGCGUGCGCAGGCGGUUGUGCAAGACAGAUGUGAAAUCCCCGGGCUCAACCUGGGAAUUGCAUUUGUGACUGCACGGCUAGAGUGUGUCAGAGGGGGGUAGAAUUCCACGUGUAGCAGUGAAAUGCGUAGAGAUGUGGAGGAAUACCGAUGGCGAAGGCAGCCCCCUGGGAUAACACUGACACUCAUGCACGAAAGCGUGGGGAGCAAACAGGAUUAGAUACCCUGGUAGUCCACGCCCUAAACGAUGUCUACUAGUUGUCGGGUCUUAAUUGACUUGGUAACGCAGCUAACGCGUGAAGUAGACCGCCUGGGGAGUACGGUCGCAAGAUUAAAACUCAAAGGAAUUGACGGGGACCCGCACAAGCGGUGGAUGAUGUGGAUUAAUUCGAUGCAACGCGAAAAACCUUACCUACCCUUGACAUGUCUGGAAUCCUUGAGAGAUCAGGGAGUGCUCGAAAGAGAAUCAGAACACGGGUGCUGCAUGGCUGUCGUCAGCUCGUGUCGUGAGAUGUUGGGUUAAGUCCCGCAACGAGCGCAACCCUUGUCAUUAGUUGCUACGAAAGGGCACUCUAAUGAGACUGCCGGUGACAAACCGGAGGAAGGUGGGGAUGACGUCAAGUCCUCAUGGCCCUUAUGGGUAGGGCUUCACACGUCAUACAAUGGUACAUACAGAGGGCCGCCAACCCGCGAGGGGGAGCUAAUCCCAGAAAGUGUAUCGUAGUCCGGAUUGUAGUCUGCAACUCGACUACAUGAAGUUGGAAUCGCUAGUAAUCGCGGAUCAGCAUGUCGCGGUGAAUACGUUACCGGGUCUUGUACACACCGCCCGUCACACCAUGGGAGCGGGUUUCACCAGAAGUGGGUAGCCUAACCGCAAGGAGGGCGCUCACCACGGUGGGAUUCGUGACUGGGGUGAAGUCGUAACAAGGUA